GCGGGUGGGGAGAGCGCCGAGGUCGCUUGUGCGCGCCGGGCUUGGUGUGUGUGUGUGUGCGUGCCCGUGUGUGUGUGUCCCACCCCGCCUCUCCACCCCGAUAUCUUUCCUUCCCCCCAACCUCGGCGAGGAGUAAGUGCCACCGCUCCGCCUUCUCCUUUUCGCAAUGUUGACGCAAUCUAUAAAUAGUGGAACAAAAGGACCAACUUCCUCGCAGCUUUGCUGAAACUGCACAAAAAAGGCAACCGGGGGGGUUGGUGGUGGUGGUUAUUUUUUGAUUUUAUUUUUCUCCCGUUAAGAGGCGAAUCCUACCCCCACCCCACGCUACUGGAAGAUUUUUGUUUGUUUUUUUUUUUUUCCUCGCUGUCUCCUGUGCUGGCACCGUCCUGCGAGUGGCUAUUUUGCUUUUGCACCGAGACUUCCCCAGUCCCUCCUCUUCUGACACUUCUGGAUGAAAUCCACACACUGGUGUCUAACCUGUAACGAAACCAAAUCUGUAUUCCUGCUGUGACUUUUUGGCUUCACUAGUCACUGAGGAAACAAACUGAUGAUCCUCUCCCAGAUGCUGCAGCUAGAGAAUGCCAUACCCACUUCGUAUAACAUGGAUUUUUAGACCAUAGCAAUUGCUUUUCUCACUUUUUCUGAUACUCAUUUAAAUAUUUACCCAUUCUGAUCCUUAAAUUAUUGCAAUUGUGCAUUAUUUAACUUAAGAGACAUGAAUGGAAGCUGUAAAUCAAGACUAGCACGUUAGCUUUAUGUUUCAUGCAGUCCUAAGUAAUACUGAGAAUAAUGAUUGUGUAAUAUCACUGUUUAGCUUCUUAAGUCUGAAAUACAAGAGUAUAAUAACAAAGAUAACUACUCAGUGUGCUUACACAUAAUGAUAACCAUUUCAGUCUGUACAGGAUCAGGGCCUAUGUGCAUCAAGUAUGGAAUCUGAGAGCACGUGUGAGAUAUUAAAGGCUGUACAAAUUUU